rnacentral:rRNA from 1 species
UACGGAGGGUGCAAGCGUUAAUCGGAAUUACUGGGCGUAAAGCGCACGCAGGCGGUGAGGUAAGUUAGAUGUGAAAGCCCCGAGCUCAACUUGGGAAUAGCAUUUAAAACUGCUUCGCUAGAGUCUUGUAGAGGGGGGUAGAAUUCCAGGUGUAGCGGUGAAAUGCGUAGAGAUCUGGAGGAAUACCGGUGGCGAAGGCGGCCCCCUGGACAAAGACUGACGCUCAGGUGCGAAAGCGUGGGGAGCAAACAGG